GGAGGUAUGGCUGAGUGGUAAAGCACCUGCAUAGCAAACCUGAGGCCCCGAGUUUAACCCUCAGUACUGCCG
rnacentral:tRNA from 1 species